ACCCGCUGAACUUAAGCAUAUCAGUAAGCGGAGGAAAAGAAACUAACGAGGAUUGCCUCAGUAGCGGCGAGUGAAGAGGCAAGAGCUCAAAGUGGGAAUCUGCAGCGGACAAAGUUGCAGAAUUGUAAUCUAGAGAAUUUCACGGAAUGCUAAGUCCUCGCACAAGCGCUUGGAACAGCGAAUCAAAGAGGGUGAAAAUCCCGUAGACGGCGAUGGACUGGCAGUACGUGGGGUUUCUAAGAGUCGGGUUGUUUGGGAUUGCAGCCCUAAAUGGGAGAUAAACUUCUUCUAAAGCUAAAUAUUUAUGGGAGACCGAUAGCGAACAAGUACUGCGAAGGAAAGAUGAAAAGAACUUUGAAAAGAGGGUUAAAAGACUUGAAAUCGUUGAAAAGGAAGCGGUAGAAGAAAAAAAUUUGGGCGUGACGUUUGGCGUGAGACCAACGGCCGGCGUGGCGUGGAGUACGUCAAAGGCUUGCGACACGCUAGGUAACGGGGGUCUGCGACUUUUUCACGACCAAAAGGCAGAAUGAGGUCAGAGCUGCGGGAGAAACUGUGAGGAAAGCACCAGGUUUACUUGGAGUCCUUGCAGAAAGCCGCAGCCUGGCCUGAGGGUCCGCGAGGAGAUUCUGUCGAAAUGGCUUCUACUGACCCGUCUUGAAACACGGACCAAGGAGUGUAUCACGUAUGCGAGUUUGCGGGAGGAAAAACCCAUAGGCGAAAUGAAAGUGAGUACAAGAUGUGAAGCCGCAAGGCCGCAACAUCGACCCACCUUGAACUUCUGUGAAGGGCUGGAGUAAGAGCAUACUUGGUACGACUCGAAAGAUGGUGAACUAUACUUGAGUAGGCUGAAGCCAGGGGAAACUCUGGUGGAAGGUCGAAGCGAUACUGACGUGCAAAUCGUUCGUCAAACUUGAGUAUAGGGGCGAAAGACUAAUCGAACCAUCUAGUAGCUGGUUCCCUCUGAAGUUUCUCUCAGGAUAGCUGGAACAGAUAAAGCGCAGUUUUAUUAGGUAAAGCGAAUGAUUAGAGGAAUUGGAGCUCAAAGAGCUUUGACCUAUUCUCAAACUUUAAAUUGGUAAGAACUGUCAGUUGACUUAACUGAACUGGCAGGAAGAAUGCGUUGUUCUAAGUGGGCCCUUUUUGGUAAGCAGAACGGGUAAUGAGGGAUGAACCUAACGCUGAGCUAAGGCGCCGAAAUCCCCGCUCAUCAGAAAUCACAAAAGGUGUUGAUUCAUAUAGACAGCAGGACGGUGGCCAUGGAAGUCGGAAUCCGCUAAGGAGUGUGUAACAACUCACCUGCCGAAUGAAUUAGCCCUGAAAAUGGAUGGCGCUGAAGCGGGGUGCCGAUACUCAGCCAUCACAGCAAAUGUGAGGCUGUGAUGUGUAAGAGGGCGUGGGCGCAGUGUAGAAGCCUUUGGCGUGAGCCUGGGUGGAACUGCGUCUAGUGUAGAUCUUGGUGGUAGUAGCAAAUAUUCAAAUGAGAACUUUGAAGACCGAAGUGGAGAAGGGUUCCAUGAGAACAGCAAUUGGUCAUGGGUUAUUCGAUCCUAAGGCAUGGGGAAGCUCCUUGGAAUACAAGAGCGCUUUGCUCGUAGCCAAAAGGGAAUGAGGUUAAUAUUCCUCAAACUGGACGUGGAUAUUGUAUGGCAACAUAAGUGAGCCCGGAGACGUCGGCGUGAACUCCUGGAAGAGUUAUCUCUUCUUUUUAACAGUCUAUAGCCCUGAAAUUGGAUUAUCCAGAGCUAGGGCCGUAUGGCUGGCAGAGCACCACGCUCUAAGUGGUGUCAGGUGCGUUCACGACGAUCCUUGAAAAUCCGGGUGAGAGUUCUAUUGGCACGCCAGAUCGUACCAAUAACCGCAUCAGGUCUCCAAGGUU
rnacentral:rRNA from 1 species